AUCCUCUUAGCUCGAUUAGGCCGAGGCUUUUCCUCCGCUCUUGAGACGCCGACGACCCCUUCCUGCUAGCGGCAAUGGCGAAUUGGCGACUCUUCUCCCCGCGGCAGCGACGGUGACCCCUCAGCGAUGGCGACCCCUCCUCCCCGCAGCAGCGGCAGCACACUCGGCAGCAGCGAUUAGACGACUGUGGUCAGAGCUUUAAUUUCCUCCUCUCUCCCAAUGCUUCUGACCCCCUCCCACCAGAUCCAGAGGUGCAGCAAGCCACCAGUUUCCCCUUGGCCAGAUCCAUACGCAAAGGGAGUGGGACUGGGAGAUGGCCGCCUCCUCAAUCCCGGCAAAGGACAAGAGUCCAUGAUGCAGCAGUCAUGACAACAGCGAGCAGCAGUCGCGUGCGAGCAAAUUCGCGGCAAUGACAAGCUCGUCGUGGUAGUGGCGAUGUCUCGAUCCAUCGUCAUUUUUGGCAGAUCCCAUCCAUCCACCACCGCCACCUCGCAGGCACGCAUCGCCGGCUCUACCGAUCGAGAUAGAAGAUGAACAAGAGAGAGGAUGAACACAAAAGAAUAGGUUUGGGUAAGAACAGGACACAAUUCUUGAGGGUAAUGGCUUGCUUCUAAUUUUAUAAUAUUUUAGUGCCACGUAAUGUAUAUCAUAAAUAUAUAUAGUGCUACUUUUUUAAUUGAGCAAAUUUGCAAUGGUAUGAAUCCAAUUAACCCUUAUUGUUAUACACAUAAAACGGUACUGCUAUAUUUUUAAAUUUUUAGGCAAUAGAAAAAAAUUAAAAUUAUUUCUGUAGAUCUCGUUGAGAAUUUCAUAGAAGAGUUUGUCUCUGCAUGAAGGUAUUUGAAAAUAUUUAAAAUCCAAUAAUUCAAAUAGAUCUUGAAAUGAAUAUUCGAACAUGUAAAUGACCUUAGAUGAAAAGAUUAUCAAGUAUAGAGUUGUAGAUUUGGGUCGGUUCUACCAUUCUUAUCUAAAAUUGUUUCCAUUCGACUUUGAAAAAUAUGCACGUGUGAGUGGGUAUGUAUCAUAUUUGCCUGUUCUUAACUUUGGCUCCCCUAUAGCUCAGGAAAGACGGAAAAUGCGUCCGUUCUAUGUACAUGAACCAACAUAGCUAGUGCAUCACCUAUUUGAUAUUUUCUAAUUAACGUGCCUGAGGAUUAUCCUCAUGGUAUAAUUUAAAACGAUACCCAGAGGUUUUAUUUUUACAAACAUGAAAAGGAUGGGGAGAUAGCAAAAUAUAUAUCAUUCCGUAAAGAUAGACAUAAAUAUAAAUAUAAAUUGCGCAUCUUAAAUUUUUAUAUGUACUUGGACUUUGAAACAAAAUGUUUUGUUGGGAGAGAAUUGUCUUCGUUAAUCACACAAUAUUUUGAAGGUUGAUUCUAUUUGGGGACAAAUUAAGGCUUCCCUUGAACACAAGAUUUUUGAAAACAGAGAAACGCAACAAUACGUAGGAAUAGAUGCCAUGCCCAUUGAUUCGCAUGAAAGUCUCAAAAAAUCAAUGGAGGAAAUUACUGGUGC
rnacentral:sRNA from 1 species